rnacentral:rRNA from 1 species
AAUGAAGAAGGCCUUCGGGUCGUAAAAUUCUGUUGUCAGAGAAGAACGUGCGUGAGAGUAACUGUUCACGUAUUGACGGUAUCUGACCAGAAAGCCACGGCUAACUACGUGCCAGCAGCCGCGGUAAUACGUAGGUGGCGAGCGUUGUCCGGAUUUAUUGGGCGUAAAGGGAACGCAGGCGGUCUUUUAAGUCUGAUGUGAAAGCCUUCGGCUUAACCGAAGUAGUGCAUUGGAAACUGGAAGACUUGAGUGCAGAAGAGGAGAGUGGAACUCCAUGUGUAGCGGUGAAAUGCGUAGAUAUAUGGAAGAACACCAGUGGCGAAAGCGGCUCUCUGGUCUGUAACUGACGCUGAGGUUCGAAAGCGUGGGUAGCAAACAGGAUUAGAUACCCUGGUAGUCCACGCCGUAAACGAUGAGUGCUAAGUGUUGGAGGGUUUCCGCCCUUCAGUGCUGCAGCUAACGCAUUAAGCACUCCGCCUGGGGAGUACGGUCGCAAGACUGAAACUCAAAGGAAUUGACGGGGGCCCGCACAAGCGGUGGAGCAUGUGGUUUAAUUCGAAGCAACGCGAAGAACCUUACCAGGUCUUGACAUCUUCUGACAAUUCCAGAGAU